GUUGGGUAAACCAAAAGCGAUGCACAAAGUCAAAGACUGGGCAGCACACAUUAUCAGGCAUUUUUGGCAUUGCUCAAGUGCAUGCAGACAGGAUGAUGAAACCUCCGAUGAAGAAGCACUGAAAGUUAUGAAGGUAUUCUUGUAUUAUAACAGUAUAUGUAAAAUGUUAAUGUAUAUAUUAUGAUUUUGUUUAGGACAAAUGGAUUGGAUUACUGCAUCACAUCUGUAAUGAGCAUCAGUGGCUGGAAGGUCAAUGUGAUCAUGAAGAAGACGAACAUGACGAAAGGCUACCAUGGUUUGAUCGUUGGGAUAAAGACUAUCAAGAAUUGCAAAAGAUCAUCUUGAAUCCCGAGUUACUUGCACGUUUCAAGUACUAUACCCAUUUCAG